UCUGCGUAUGUGGUCCGUGUACCUUCUGUUCAUUUGAUUUUCAAGGUUGAAACAGUGAUCAAAAAACGGAUUUGAAGACCUUUACCUAAAACAGUACUUCCCAGAGAAAAAUAAAACACAAA